rnacentral:rRNA from 1 species
GAUGAACGCUGGCGGCGUGCCUAAUACAUGCAAGUCGAGCGAACGGACGAGAAGCUUGCUUCUCUGAUGUUAGCGGCGGACGGGUGAGUAACACGUGGAUAACCUACCUAUAAGACUGGGAUAACUUCGGGAAACCGGAGCUAAUACCGGAUAAUAUUUUGAACCGCAUGGUUCAAAAGUGAAAGACGGUCUUGCUGUCACUUAUAGAUGGAUCCGCGCUGCAUUAGCUAGUUGGUAAGGUAACGGCUUACCAAGGCAACGAUGCAUAGCCGACCUGAGAGGGUGAUCGGCCACACUGGAACUGAGACACGGUCCCGACUCCUACGGGAGGCAGCAGUAGGGAAUCUUCCGCAAUGGGCGAAAGCCUGACGGAGCAACGCCGCGUGAGUGAUGAAGGUCUUCGGAUCGGAAAACUCUGUUAUUAGGGAAGAACAUAUGUGUAAGUAACUGUGCACAUCUUGACGGUACCUAAUCAGAAAGCCACGGCUAACUACGUG